GACGUAGGAGGCGAGCGUUAUCCGGAUUCACUGGGCGUAAAGCGCAUGUAGGCGGUUUGUUAAGUCCGUUGUUAAAGCCCCUGGCUCAACUGGGGGAGGUCAAUGGAGACUAGCAGACUUGAGGGCAACAGAGGCACAUGGAACUCCCGGUGUAGCGGUGGAAUGCGUAGAGAUCGGGAAGAACACCCGUGGCGAAGGCGGUGUGCUGGGUUGCAACUGACGCUGAGGCGCGAAAGCUAGGGGAGCGAACGGG
rnacentral:rRNA from 1 species